CUGAUUCAGGGAGGUAGCGACAAGAAAUAACGAUAGCGGGCUCGUUCGAGUCCGCGCAUCGGAAUGAGGAUAAUUUACACCCCUUCUCGAGGAUCCAUUGGAGGGCAAGUCUGGUGCCAGCAGCCGCGGUAAUUCCAGCUCCAAUAGCGUAUACUAAAGUUGUUGCAGUUAAAAAGCUCGUAGUUGGAUUUGUGGUGUAUGCGUUUGGCCGCUUCCUUUUGGAGGUGUGCUGUGACGCGUCGCCAUCUUUGGGUGGAAUCUGCGUGGCAUUAGGUUGUCGUGCAGGGGAUGCCCAUCGUUUACUGUGAAAAAUUAGAGUGUUCAAAGCAGGCUUAUGCCGUUGAAUAUGUUAGCAUGGAAUAAUGAGAUAGGACCUUGGUACUAUUUUGUUGGUUUGCGCACCAAGGUAAUGAUUAAUAGGGACAGUUGGGGGUAUUCGUAUUUCAUUGUCAGAGGUGAAAUUCUUGGAUUUUUGAAAGACGAACUACUGCGAAAGCA
rnacentral:rRNA from 1 species